rnacentral:lncRNA from 1 species
CAUUAACCUCCUAGGUGCCGAUGUUCUCUCUCGGCUCCAGGCUUCUAUUACCUUUACUGCUGAUGGUCAAGUUGAGUUGACAACCCCCUUAUCACAAAAGGAUACCUCUGUCCUCUGCUCACUCCCCUCCCCAUCUUGUUGAACCUAACUGACAAUACAGGGAAUGCACGGGUCUCACACACCCCCAGUGCUCUGGAUCGUAUCCCCC